rnacentral:rRNA from 1 species
CGGUUGAUCCUGCCGGAGGUUACUGCUAUCGGGGUUCGAUUAAGCCAUGCAAGUUAAAUGUUUUUCGUAAACAUAGCGAACUGCUCAGUAACACGUGGAUAACUUAACCUUAGGUCCGGCAUAACCCCGGGAAACUGGGGAUAAUUCCGGAUGUAUCAAGGAUGCUGGAAUGCCCUUUGGUUCAAAGCUUUUGUGCCUAAGGAUAGGUCUGCGGUCUAUCAGGUAGUAGUGGGUGUAACGUACCUACUAGCCGACGACGGAUACGGGUUGUGAGAGCAAGAGCCCGGAGAUGGAUUCUGAGACACGAAUCCAGGCCCUACGGGGUGCAGCAGGCGCGAACACUUUACAAUGCGGGAAACCGCGAUAAGGGAACCCCGAGUGCCAGUACUAAGUGCUGGCUGUCUAGAUGAAUAGAUAUCAUUUAACAGCAAGGGCCGGGCAAGACCGGUGCCGGCCGCCGCGGUAACACCGGCGGCCCGAGUGGUAACCGAUAUUAUUGGGUCUAAAGGGUCCGUAGCCUGUUUAAUAAGUCCUUUGGGAAAUCUGGCAGCUUAACUGUCAGGCUGCUAAAGGAUACUGUUAAACUUGGGACCGGUAGACGUAGGGGGUACUCCAGGGGUAGGAGUGAAAUCUUGUAAUCCCUGGGGGACCAUCUGUGGCGAAGGCGCCCUACGAGAACGGGUCCGACGGUGAGGGACGAGAGCUAGGGGAGCAAACCGGAUUAGAUACCCGGGUAGUCCUAGCUGUAAACGAUGCUCGCUAGGUGUCAGGCACGGUGCGUCCGUGUCUGGUGCCGCAGGGAAGCCGUUAAGCGAGCCACCUGGGGAGUACGGUCGCAAGGCUGAAACUUAAAGGAAUUGGCGGGGGAGCACUACAACGGGUGGAGCCUGCGGUUUAAUUGGAUUCAACGCCGGA